rnacentral:rRNA from 1 species
UGGGAAUUUGGACAAUGGGCGAAAGCCUGAUCCAGCAAUGCCGCGUGUGUGAAGAAGGCCUUCGGGUUGUAAAGCACUUUUGUCCGGAAAGAAAUCCUUGGCUCUAAUACAGUCGGGGGAUGACGGUACCGGAAGAAUAAGCACCGGCUAACUACGUGCCAGCAGCCGCGGUAAUACGUAGGGUGCAAGCGUUAAUCGGAAUUACUGGGCGUAAAGCGUGCGCAGGCGGUUUGCUAAGACCGAUGUGAAAUCCCCGGGCCCAACCUGGGAACUGCAUUGGUGACUGGCAGGCUAGAGUAUGGCAGAGGGGGGUAGAAUUCCACGUGGUAGCAGUGAAAUGCGUAGAGAUGUGGAGGAAUACCGAUGGCGAAGGCAGCCCCCUGGGCCAAUACUGACGCUCAUGCACGAAAGCGUGGGGAGCAAACAGG